UAAAUGGCUUUUAUCAAAGCCACCAAAUGAAAUAAUUAAAAAAUA
rfam:Helobdella robusta unplaced genomic scaffold HELROscaffold_15, whole genome shotgun sequence.